AACGUAGGUGGCAAGCGUUAUCCGGAUUUACUGGGCGUAAAGCGUGUGCAGGCGGGUGGACAAGUGGGGUAUGAAAUCGCCAGGCUAAACCUGGCGGGGGUAUGCCAGACUGUCCGUCUGGAGUGCGAGAGAGGGGCGUGGAAUUCCGGGUGUAGUGGUGAAAUGCGUAGAGAUCCGGAGGAACCCCAGAGGCGAAGGCGGCGCCCUGGCUCGCAACUGACGCUCAGACACGACAGCAUGGGGAGCGAACGGG
rnacentral:rRNA from 1 species